rnacentral:rRNA from 1 species
UACGUAGGGGGCAAGCGUUGUCCGGAUUUAUUGGGCGUAAAGAGCGUGUAGGCGGCCAAGCAGGUCCGUUGUGAAAACUGGAGGCUCAACCUUCAGAGGUCGACCGAAACCAUCUGGCUAGAGUCCGGGAGAGGAGAGUGGAAUUCCUGGUGUAGCGGUGAAAUGCGCAGAUAUCAGGAAGAACACCCGUGGCGAAAGCGGCUCUCUGGAACGGUACUGACGCUGAGACGCGAAAGCGUGGGGAGCAAACAGG